GUUUCCAGAAGGUGGCACCGGGGGGAAAUGAAUGGAGAAUAGGAAACCAGGGGAGGCAAAAAGGAAAGGAAACGGUUGCCAUCGGCGCGCGGUACUGCUGUGCACCUUCCACAUAGAGACUGCAGAAACCUCAUGAAGCUCCACGGUUGCUGGUCUCCAGGGUUCAAUCUCUGCCCGUGUGCCCAGUGUUCGGACCAUCUCACUGAUCGGGAGCACACAGAUGUGAGAACGUAGCAAGGCAUUGCUUAUGAAGAAAAUUCUGAGACAUUGAUUUCGUCACUCGGGCUGCUUUUUGGCCAUUCUAGUGCUGCAACCUGACAAGCCAUAGCAUCAACACCGGGGAAGGAAGAACUGUAUCAUCCUGCCUAACUCCAGGCUGAAGCUGCUGUGUGAGAAGGAAUCCAGCUGCACAAACUUCAACAGAAGUCAUGCCACACCACGUUGCUGUGCAAGAAUGUUCUCAUCCCUAUUUUCUCUGGGAUAUUUGAAAUCAUGAGAUUUGUAUGCAUGUUAAGUGUGUACUCUUUCCAAUGUCCAGGUUAAGGUAUAGUCUAUAAUGCUACUGGGAAAAAGAGAACCCAGAUUUGAGAGAGGUUUCUCCUUACAUAUACCCUUUGGGGGUUCGGAGCAGACCACCUGGG